AUUGAACGCUGGCGGCAGGCCUAACACAUGCAAGUCGAACGGGUGGCGGACGGGUGAGUAAGGUAUGGGAAACUGCCUGAUGGAGGGGGAUCACUACUGGAAACGGUCGCUAAUACCGCAUACCAUCAGAUGGGCCCAGAUGGGAUUAGCGUGGUGGGUGGGUAACGGCUCACCAAGGCGACGAUCCCUAGCUGGUCUGAGAGGAUGACCAGCCACACUGGAACUGAGACACGGUCCAGACUCCUACGGGAGGCAGCAGUGGGGAAUAUUGGACAAUGGGCGAAAGCCUGAUGCAGCCAUGCCGCGUGUAUGAAGAAGGCCUUCGGGUUGUAAAGUACUUUCAGCUGGGAGGCGUUACCCGCAGAAGAAGCACCGGCUAACUCCGUGCCAGCAGCCGCGGUAAUUC
rnacentral:rRNA from 1 species